CUUUAGGCCUGCCAACCAAUCAGGGGCCUUGAUCUUCCUAUCCGGGACAUUGCAAGGGCCUGAGCCAGGUCCUGGACUUCAGUGAGGGGGACAACGGGCCUGAUGGUGACCACGGGGCAAAGACGGAGACAAAGAGAAAGCAACUAAAACAAUAGAGGGGACCUGAGAGCGACAGAGUGGUCGACAGAGAAAGAGACAGUCUGAGAAACGCAAUAAAAGCAGAGAGAGAGAUUUAAUCUUAGCUGUUGCAGGUGGAACACUGGGAUUGUGGAAGCUCUGGAGGUGGCACGCAGUGGCUGAGAAUUAAGACUCUGAUAGAGAUCAAGAUGACAGGCAUGGUUUUAGUCACGCCAGAAAUCCAGCUGUGAAAAACAAGAAGAGGUCACCGCCCUGUCACAGAUCCCCCUCCUCCUCACAGCGCAACCCUCACCACAGCAGUACCACAGACGAACAGGAGAGCCCUGAGAGACUGGUGAGAGGCAUCAUCAGCAUUGGCACAAACACACUUAGCUGCACAAAACAAUGAGAUAACAGGUGUGAGUUCUAUAGCUCUUGUCUUCUGAUUACAUUCUAAAUAAAUUAAAUCACAUUUUUUUGGUAGCCUGUAUUUUCCUUCCACACUGCAUGAUUUCCAAACACAUUAAGAGAAGAACUUUGUUACUCAGGAAAACGGAUGUUGCAACUGUGAUGUCAGGACACUGAAGAUUCUUGGCAGACACAGAAACUAUUAAAUUGUUUUUGCGAACUACAUUGUUCUUUAGAUCUUUUCGGAAAAGUCAACACAGCAUUGUGGCCGACCUUGUGACCCCCAAAAUACACCACCCUCUAACAAAGAAUCACAAUAGCCCAACGCUGAUGUGGUGAGGUCAUUGUCCACCACAACAAGCUAGCUCAGCAGAGAUGGCCUUUUCAUGCAACAGUAGUUGACUGCCAGCCGCUGCAUGAAAAGUGGGCAAUGCAAAUCAAGUUCAGGUGACCCACAUUCAUAAAAAAAAAAAAACCAAAAGAAAAAACACGUUUGCACUUUGGGUUUUUGUAAAACAACAUGAUGCUAUGUCAGGUCAUGUCAGAGUGACACCUGCAGGUUUGAAUCAGAUGGCAGGGAUGUGUUAAGAGAAGCACUGCACAUGUGUAUUUUGACC
rnacentral:lncRNA from 1 species